GAGAGAGAGAGAGAGAGAGAGAGAGAGAGAGAGAAUCACGUAUUACAAUAAGAAACAAAAAAUAAAAUGCUCCGGUGACGAGUAUAGGGCGACACACCACUAAAAAAAAAGAUUGAAAAAAAGGUGAAAGCUGUUCGGUGAUAUGAAUGGCAGAUAGAAUUCGUGGAGGAGUAAUUACCACGAUGAAUGGAAGUUAGGACAUUAUCACAGAAAUACCACCACUGCCACAACUGACUUAAAAACAAAAAAAACAUGUAUAGCUAUAUGAUGUCAAAGAAAAGUAGAAAAAAAAAUAUAAGGUGUGAAUUGGGGUUUUGAAGGUGUCUGUAUAAUAUUUCCACUCCCUUUCGUUGUCCCACCUUACCCCCUCGUACAACCCAAUUCACUUAAACAUCCUUUCUCUAUCUUGUAUCUCCUAUAUAAGCCAGAUUAUUUGAACGUCGUAUUAGUAUUUAUUAACAAUUAUGUGGCUAGUUUGCUUUUAAAUUCCAGUUUUGGGACGGAGUUCGCUAGAAGUGUACGAUUUUCACAGAGUUAAGUCGACAUAUUACAAACUCAGUCGUAAAAAGCGAUGUACACAAAUCAACAAAACCAACUAAGUACACCUUGAAAAGCUACUCAACAAAGACAAAUCAGCCACAUUAUUAGUAACAAAGACUAAUAAGACGCUUCAAAAUCACGUGAUAGUCUUUCGUCACACGGCAAACCAUCCUCUUUCCCCCUCCAUAUCGCUUCCCUUCGUCCUCCUUCACAGUGAAAAGCAAAAACAGCUGAAGUGAACAAAAAAGUUGAAGUAUUGAUAACGUAAAAAAGGAAAAAAAGAACAUGAUUAUCGGUGACGCAGGGAUGAAUAAUGGACAUGACGCAAAGGAACGCAGUGCAACACGGAAAGGUGCGAUGAUUAAUUAAAGUGACACGGUAGGAAAAGACUUAGAAAAAAAAAAAGAGUGAAUAAUGUUAUGAUACUGAAAAAAACAGGAUGAAUUAUGAGUCGGGAGAAAUAAUGAGUGGCCGAAAAUAUAAACUUCACCUGCAGUUCUACGUAAUACGGUUCAAGGUAAAAAUAAAUAAAUCCACGUGGUGUUACAAUACGGUUCAAGAUAAAAAAAAAAAAAAUCCACGUGGUGUUCUAAUAGGGUUUCAGAUGAAAAAAAAAAGAGAGAAAACUCCACGGGAUGUUCUACUACGAUUCCAAAAAUAAAAUAAAAUUAACAUGGUGUUCAUAUACGGUUCCAAAUUAUAUAGAUAGAUAGAUAGAUAGAUAGAUAAAAGACAGCGUGGAGCUCUAAUACACUUCAAGAUAAAUAUAAUAAUACUUGCGUGACGUUCUAAUACGAUUCUAGAUAAAAAAAAAAAACUCUGAGUAGUUUUAAUACAUUUCCAGAUGAAGAAAAACAGGUCGUGCAUAAUACAGUUCCAGAUAAAAUAAAAUAAAAAUUCCACGGUGUGUUCUAAUACGGCUCUAACAUGACGCAUUAACCUUAGGGCUCCCUCAGGUGCCUCUUUAUCGACCAAGCGCAUGAUAAAUGAAAUGAGAUAGAAAGUUGGAAAGUUUCGCUUAGUCGGCGCAACAUCUGUGGUUAUAUGCCGGAGAGAGACAGAAGGGGGAAGGCAUUAAAGGAGAAGGAUGAAAUGAGAUAAAACAGGCGGAUUGUCAAACACUAAUUCAACUAUGAUGUAAAUACAGUCUCUGGAAUUUCUAACUAAGCCACAUAGAGUCGUAUUACAAAAUAUUUCGUCGCCUAAGAACACAUAUUUCACAAGGCUUUCAUAGGAGUUGUGGGCAUUUCCAGGAGUAGUUUUAUGACCCUGGUGGUAGUUUGACCCUUCUUCUGUACCAUGAACCUGCAGAAACACACAUUACAACCCGACUGACCCCCUCUUUGACCUUUAGAAAUAGCUGAUGUGAGAAGCGAAGGUGUCUUAUCAUACCGACCUUUCGGGGAUUACACAUAUACAUUCUACAAGGCUUUCUUUGAUCCUGUGUAUGUUUCUCUGGGUAGUUUAUGAGUCUAGUGAUAGUUUGGCAAUGCUUCUGUAUCAUGAAUGUGAAAAGCACUACCUAUGAGAACGCGACUAACCUCCUUUGUGGCCUUCGGGAAUGUUUGUUGUGAGCCGAAAGCGUUUAUUGAUACGGGCCCAGCAUGAUACGACAGACACAAGGAGAAGACACUGGCGGGAAUGUACGGAUGAAAUGUGAAGCAAUGAGGUCAAUAGUUGGUUCUCACGGAAGGAAAAUGAAAACUGAAUGUAUAAUAAAUAUAACACAACCUUCACGGCACAUAAUGGACAAUGGGAUGAAGGCGAUAUAAACUCUUUUGUUAAGUAUACAUGGCCAUAUAACAUUCUCUCUCUCUCUCUCUCUCUCUCUCUCUCUCUCUCUCUCUCUCUCUCUCUCUCUCUCUCUCUCUCUCUCUCUCUCUCUCUCUCUCUCUCUCUCUCUCUCUCUCUCUCUCAUACACACACACACACACACACACACACACACACACACCACCACCACCACCACCACAACCACCACCAUCACCAUUUUUAGAAGGUUUAAGCGGAGCAGUAGAGCGCAAAAGACAUCCUACAGGCUAUUAUUAUAUCCACGGGCGAGGAGUGCACGAGACGGAAAAAAGAAUGUCUGUAGACGGAGUGACAUUCAAAGGAUAGCCAAAAAAAGAAAGUCUGAAGGGCACUACUGAAGGCAGGCACACACACACACACAUACACACACACACACACACCAACGCACGCAACACAGCCAAUGAUGAAUAGGAUAAAUACACGGAUGAGCAAGUUAAUAACACAGUAGCAAAUGACGGACAGCUUAAUGAAGUUAUUAAUCAUACAGAAGGUGUAAUCAGAUAUUGACGUGUUGGUAAAAUAGUUUAGAGAAGAAAUUUACUCUGAUAACAUGAUAGGUAAUAAUUAUAAUAGCAAUACUAAUAAUAACAACAAUAAUAAUGAUAAACUCAAAAUCCGUGAACCAAUAGAGAAGAUGAAGUAGACGUAACAUAGUGAAGAAAAAUAAAUAACAACCUUACAACUAAAACAACCACAAAUAACCACUAGACAAAGACGCUGAUUAAAGAUAAACGAAAGAAACAGUAAACUCAGGUGAAAACUAAUAGAGUGCCCGAGACACCUGAAGUUACCUGUAUCAGAACGAGGAAGAAAAAAGUGUUAUAAUCAGCCUUGUCUUAACCAUCGCUAUCAGGGGUGCUUGUGUUUGCGGGGGCAGGGGGCUAUAUGGAGGGGCAGGGGUGAAAGCAGAAGCAAGGUUAAGGGGCGAUGACUGGAGUGAUUGAAGCAGGGGUAAGGUUGGAAGGGCAGAUGGGUAAAAACGAAAGGGCGAGGGAGGGAAAUAGAGGUAAAGUUAUGGGGCUGUUCUGAAGGGUAUGUUAAGGCAGCUAGGGGAUGAAAGCAGAGGCAAGGAUAGAAGGUUAACAGGAAUAGAAGGGUAAGAAUAGAAGGUUAAGAAUAGAGAGAGGUUAAGACAGGAAUAACAGAAUAAGGAAUAAGAAUAGACGAACAAGACUGAUAAGAAUAAAGAUACAGAGGAAUGAAAAGAAGAAGAAGAGGAGAAGAAUAGGUUAGGAGUAUAAUGUUAAGAAGAAUAGAAGGUAAGGGGUUGUUGCUAGGAGAAUGGAGGGCAGGGAAUGAAAACGGAGGCAAAGAUAGAAUGAAGUGUUAGGGGAAUGGAGUUAAGGAGAUAAGGCCACAGUGAGGGGGUUGAGGAACGGAAUAGAGGGGAGAGGGGUAGGAGGGACAGAGGGAAAGGAAGGGUGGGGUGGGGUGAACGAGGUGAACUGGGAGUGGGGGGGCACUGAGGGGGCGGAGAAUGGGUUUAAAAGGACGACUGUGAGCUCUUGAAGAUGGCUUAAUGGGUGAAGGGAAAUACGGAGUUGCUUUCUAUCAUUGUCUGAUGUGAAUGCGAAUUUAACUGCAGAAUGAUUGAAAUGGAAUAGAUGGGAGAGGAAAGCCUUACCGUAGAUGGUUGAAUGGGUGACGGGAAAUAUGGAGUUGUUUUCUAUCAUUGUCUUAUGUGAAUACGAAUUUAACUACAGAAUGAUUGAAAUGGAAUAGAUGGGAGUAGAAAGCCUUGCCCUAGACGUCAUUGAUAGGAGAAAUAGGUAAAACUGGGUAAAUAUAGUACGAAUUUAACUAAAGAAUGAUUGAAAUAGAAUAGAUGGGAGUAGAAAGCCUUGCCAUAUGUAGACGUCAGUGGUGGGAGAAAUAGGUAAAACUGGGUAAGUAAAGUACGAAUUUAACUAAAGAAUGAUUGAAAUAGAAUAGAUGGGAGUAGAAAGCCUUGCCGUAGACGUCAGUGGUAGGAGAAAUCGGUAAAUCUGGGUAAAUAUGGUAAGCAGAGAGUAAAGGUUGAUGACUGAAGGAAGAUUGGAAUGGAAUAGAAGACAGUAGAAAGCCUUGCCAUAGACGUCAGUGGUAGAAGAAAAAGGUAAAACAGAGUAAAGAUAGCAAGCAGAGAGUAAAGGUUGAUGACUGAAGGAAGAUUGGAAUGGAAUAGUAGAAAGUAGAAAGCUUAACCGCAGAUGUCAAUGGUAGGUGAAAAAG